GUGCCAGCCGCCGCGGUAAAACGUAGGAGGCAAGCGUUAUCCGGAAUUACUGGGCGUAAAGGGCGUCUAGGCGGUCGGUCAAGCGCGGUGUGAAAGCUCCUGGCUCAACUGGGAGAGUGCGCUGCGAACUGGCGGACUAGAGGGCAGGCGACGGCGGUGGAAUUCCCGGUGGAGUGGUGAAAUGCGUAGAUAUCGGGAGGAACACCAGUGGCGAAGGCGGCCGCCGAGCCUGCCCCUGACGCUGAAGCGCGACAGCGUGGGGAGCAAACGGGAUUAGAAACCCCGGUAGUCC
rnacentral:rRNA from 1 species